GGAUUUACAAUAUUUGUCAUAUCAAAUCUAAUCUAAUCUUUGCAAGAUAUGAUUCUCUCUAUCUUCUAAGAUUAUUUACCAAAAUUAGCCUAAGUUGCCAUGUCUUCAUUAUCGGGCCAACCAGGCUUCAAUCUGACAGGCUUCUCCAACAAUUCUUUGAAUCGGGCCAGUUCUCGUGGGCUAAAUGUUCCCCAUUUAAUCGAUAGACCUCCAUGGGGC
rnacentral:lncRNA from 1 species